GGGCGGGCAAGCGAGCGCGCGAGAAACCCCGGUCCGGCUGGCCCAUUGACGAGCGUCGCUCGCCAGGGUGAAGGGAGAGGUUUUUAAGGGACCGUCCGACUUUGCCUUUCGAAAGGGGGAGGCGGCUUUGCACUCCCAAGCUUCACCCGCGCUACUUCCACAACAAAAGCCGAGGGUUUCUUUCCUCGUCCGCCUUCAGGCAGACGCUGCGCAACAGGGCUUUUAGCAAAGGUGGCAUCUGACCUCGCCUGUCAUCCCCUGCAACGUCUCGUGGGAAAAGGAGCCCUUUUAACUCUUUCUUCCCACCCCUGUGCUGUUUGUUUUCCUUGGAAGGGAGGCUAGCGCGAUCUCCCGAGGGACACUCAGGAUUGGCCGGAGGAAAGCUGCCCAACCUUCAGAUUCAUCUUGUCCAAAGCCAAGACUCAGAAUUACUAAAAGAAGCUCCUGCUCUGUUUUUUAAAUCUUCACUAGCAGGCUCUUUGAAAAAAGAGUCCAAAAAUAUCUUGGGCUUACGAAGCACAAACUAUAAAGAUCUGUUUGAAACUAAAGGACACAUUUAUGAAGGAACAGAACCAGGGGAUGGCAAGGCCUUUACGGAACUAUCUUCUGAAUGAUGGAAGAUCCAGCAAGAUUCUGUCUUCAUCUCCAGGUGAGUGUGUGGUGCAAAGCCAGCCUUUCUCUCAGCUUAUGAAGAUGCAAUGCAGAAGAAGGAGCAAAGGUGAAAAGUUGAGAAAUCAUUGGAAAUCAACACUGUCCACUUCAGAAUUUAUGCAGAUGUAUAAAGUCCCCACCCAGACGAAGGGUGGGGGGGGGAACUCCAGCCAACGAUGACCAAUUGCCGGAUCCCUGUGACAGCGAGGAUGAAGGUGAAAACGAUCUAAUGGUGAAUGAACCAAUCCACCCCUUCAUCUUCCCAAUACGCCUCACAGAUCCAAG